AUGAAGGAGCUGAAGGAGAUCCACAUGGAGGACACCGAAGAGGAGGAAAUGCAUGACAUCGACAGCUGCGACUUCGGCAACUCCCUUGCGGUUGUUGAAUAUGUGGAUGAAAUUUACAGCUUCUACAGAAGGACCGAGGUCCACUAUAAGUUUGAGCUACUGGGUGAAUUUUAUUCCUUACUGUCAACAUCGUUGAUAGAUACCUGGCCCGGGAAAAUGUCGCUAGGAAGAAGCUGUUGCUGUUGCUGUUGCAGGUUUAUGGCACUUGCAGGGAUAACACAAAUUCCAUCUGUUUUUUUGUUCUUUGUUUUGAUUGAUGUGCGUUCAUUACCAAUUCCUGAGGAUGAUUUGUGUUCCUCAUGGAGAUUAGUCUCGGACGCUACAAGCUAUUCUCUGUUGUGUGGUAUAUCCUGA
rnacentral:rRNA from 1 species